AGUGAACGCUGGCGGCAGGCCUAACACAUGCAAGUCGAGCGGCAGCGCGGGGGCAACCCUGGCGGCGAGCGGCGGACGGGUGAGGAAUUCGUCGGAAUCUGCCUUUUUGUGGGGGAUAAAGUAGGGAAACUUACGCUAAUACCGCAUACGUCCUACGGGAGAAAGUGGGGGACCGCAAGGCCUCACGCAGAAAGAUGAGCCGACGACCGAUUAGCUAGUUGGUGGGGUAAAGGCCCACCAAGGCGACGAUCGGUAGCUGGUCUGAGAGGAUGAUCAGCCACACUGGGACUGAGACACGGCCCAGACUCCUACGGGAGGCAGCAGUGGGGAAUAUUGGACAAAGGGCGCAAGCCUGAUCCAGCCAUGCCGCGUGUGUGAAGAAGGCCUUCGGGUUGUAAAGCACUUUUGUCCGGAAAGAAAUCCCUGGAGCUAAUACCUUCGGGGGAUGACGGUACCGGAAGAAUAAGCACCGGCUAACUUCGUG
rnacentral:rRNA from 1 species